GCGGAUAUGGCGUAAUUGGUAGCCGCGUCAGACUUAGGAUCUGGUGCCAUUAACGGCGUGGGGGUUCGAGUCCCUUUAUCCGCA
rnacentral:tRNA from 1 species